GGCCUAACACAUGCAAGUCGAACGGAUCCUUCGGGAUUAGUGGCGGACGGGUGAGUAACACGUGGGAACGUGCCUUUUGGUUCGGAACAACUCAGGGAAACUUGUGCUAAUACCGGAUAAGCCCUUACGGGGAAAGAUUUAUCGCCAAAAGAUCGGCCCGCGUCUGAUUAGCUAGUUGGUAGGGUAAUGGCCUACCAAGGCGACGAUCAGUAGCUGGUCUGAGAGGAUGAUCAGCCACAUUGGGACUGAGACGCGGCCCAAACUCCUACGGGAGGCAGCAGUGGGGAAUAUUGGACAAUGGGGGCAACCCUGAUCCAGCCAUGCCGCGUGAGUGAUGAAGGCCCUAGGGUUGUAAAGCUCUUUUGUACGGGAAGAUAAUGACGGUACCGUAAGAAUAAGCCCCGGCUAACUUCGUGCCAGCAGCCGCGGUAAUACGAAGGGGGCUAGCGUUGCUCGGAAUCACUGGGCGUAAAGGGUGCGUAGGCGGGUUUUUAAGUCAGAGGUGAAAUCCUGGAGCUCAACUCCAGAACUGCCUUUGAUACUGGGAAUCUUGAGUAUGGAAGAGGUGAGUGGAACUGCGAGUGUAGAGGUGAAAUUCGUAGAUAUUCGCAAGAACACCAGUGGCGAAGGCGGCUCACUGGUCCAUAACUGACGCUGAGGCACGAAAGCGUGGGGAGCAAACAGGAUUAGAUACCCUGGUAGUCCACGCCGUANACGAUGAAUGCCAGCCGUUAGUGGGUUUACUCACUAGUGGCGCAGCUAACGCUUUAAGCAUUCCGCCUGGGGAGUACGGUCGCAAGAUUAAAACUCAAAGGAAUUGACGGGGGCCCGCACAAGCGGUGGAGCAUGUGGUUUAAUUCGACGCAACGCGCAGAACCUUACCAGCCCUUGACAUGUCUAGGACCGG
rnacentral:rRNA from 1 species